CCCUCCACUUACACUAGAUUCCAUCCCCAAUGACUUUUUCAAGAAUUUAACUCCAGAAGUUAAACAUUAUUUCCUGCAUUAUGAAUCUCUACACCACCCCCAAGCAGGAUAAUUCAUUUUAGGUAGAAAUAUGUGGUAAUAGUUCUCAUUUAAAAUUCUGUACAUUUCCAGCUACUGCCUCAUUUACUCCUCUCUUUAUAGAAGAAAGCAUCGUUUGUCUUUAUUCAGCAUCUCCACUUUUUCUCUUGCAUUCUUUUGCUGUUGUUUUGUUUUUCUGGGAAAGUUCUUUAAUGUUUUUAAUUUGUUAUAAAAUAUUUCAGACUUUAAAAAUAAAAAGUAAAUAUAUUGUGUCAUAUAAUUUGUCUUCUCCUCUUAAAGCCGGAAGCUUCAUUUCUAAUGAUGAAUGUCCUUCAGAAUAUUAUCAUUGCAGACUGAAGUGCAAUGCUGAUGAACAUGCAAUUACAUACUGUGCUGACUUCAGCAUCUGCUGCAAACUGAAGAUCAUUGAAAUUGACGGACAAAAGAAGUGGUGAAAAUGCUAACUCCAUCUUCUUCAGACUCCAGGAGCAAAAACAUGUCUUAAACUCUCUUAUCUACGAAUAAUUAACAUGAUGGAUGAAAAUUAUUAUAAUUGCAUGUUUAGAUGGUCAGGUGAAAAUGAAUAUAAAUUUUAUAAAUGCUUA
rnacentral:lncRNA from 10 species